AUAUUUACCUGACGGGGGAGGUACCAUGAUCAUGAAGGUGGUUUUCCCAGGGCAAGUCUUACCCAUUGUACUCCAGAUGUGCUGAUCCCUGCGAUAUCCCCAAAUGUGGGAAACUCUACUGCAUAAUUUUUGGUAGUGGGACACUGCGUUUGCACUUUCCCC
rnacentral:snRNA from 1 species